CUGUGCAGACAGAGCACUGGUUUACUGGUAAAGGAAGAAGGGUUUUCAGGGGCCUGCUGAAAGGAAGUUUGGUGUGAGAGUGACUCGGUGUCUUACUACACAAGUCUGGAAGGCUGCAGGGCUCCACAAGCAACAACCUCAGAGCAGCAUGAUUUGCUAGCAGCUACAUGCAGUGACUAAAUGAUUACACGAAGUCAAUACUCCUUAACAGCCCUGGAACAGUUUCACCUGGGCUCCCCACACCUGCCCACGGCUCCAUUUAAGCUCAGGCCAGCGGCCUCUGCUCUUUUCUGUGCCCUGUGCAGGCAUGCCUGCCUCCAGCCCUCCUCUGGCUGUGCCUCUAGGAUGGACACCAGCCGUGCUAUGCAGGAUCAUGUGGAUGCUAACAAUAUUUUUUCCUCCAAGGAUAUCCCCAAUUUCCUAUCCGGAGGGAAAAACCGUCUGUCUCACUUCCAUGGUUGGUGGAAAAAACACCCUAUGCAAACCACUUCAGUUCUGAUCCUGAAACAUAGUGUGCAAGGAACGGACAUCUCUGCGUGACCCCUGAAUUAAAGCUCACAUCUUUCAAGCCU
rnacentral:lncRNA from 1 species